rnacentral:rRNA from 1 species
CAUGGCUCAGGACGAACGCUGGCGGCGUGCCUAAUACAUGCAAGUCGAACGCUUCUUUCCUCCCGAGUGCUUGCACUCAAUUGGAAAGAGGAGUGGCGGACGGGUGAGUAACACGUGGGUAACCUACCCAUCAGAGGGGGAUAACACUUGGAAACAGGUGCUAAUACCGCAUAACAGUUUAUGCCGCAUGGCAUAAGAGUGAAAGGCGCUUUCGGGUGUCGCUGAUGGAUGGACCCGCGGUGCAUUAACUAGUUGGUGAGGUAACGGCUCACCAAGGCCACGAUGCAUAGCCGACCUGAGAGGGUGAUCGGCCACACUGGGACUGAGACACGGCCCAGACUCCUACGGGAGGCAGCAGUAGGGAAUCUUCGGCAAUGGACGAAAGUCUGACCGAGCAACGCCGCGUGAGUGAAGAAGGUUUUCGGAUCGUAAAACUCUGUUGUUAGAGAAGAACAAGGACGUUAGUAACUGAACGUCCCCUGACGGUAUCUAACCAGAAAGCCACGGCUAACUACGUGCCAGCAGCCGCGGUAAUACGUAGGGUGCAAGCGUUAAUCGGAAUUACUGGGCGUAAAGCGCACGCAGGCGGUUUCUUAAGUCUGAUGUGAAAGCCCCCGGCUCAACCGGGGAGGGUCAUUGGAAACUGGGAGACUUGAGUGCAGAAGAGGAGAGUGGAACUCCAUGUGUAGCGGUGAAAUGCGUAGAUAUAUGGAGGAACAUCAGUGGCGAAGGCGGCUCUCUGGUCUGUAACUGACGCUGAGGCUCGAAAGCGUGGGGAGCAA